GAUGAACGCUGGCGGCGUGCUUAACACAUGCAAGUCGAACGGGAUCCAAGGGGUGCUUGCACUUUUUGGUGAGAGUGGCGAACAGGUGAGUAACACGUGAGUAACCUGUCCUUUUCUUUGGGAUAAGCAUUCGAAAGGGUGUUUAAUACCUUAUGUUCUGUCUGCCUCGCAUGGGGUGGGUGGGAAAGGCUUUGGCCGGAUUUGGGUGGGCUCGCGGUCUAUCAGCUUGUUGGUGGGGUGAUGGCUUACCAAGGCUUUGACGGGUAGCCGGCCUGAGAGGGUGGUCGGUCACAUUGGGACUGAGAUACGGCCCAGACUCCUGCGGGAGGCAGCAGUGGGGGAUAUUGCACAAUGGGCGAAAGCCUGAUGCAGCGACGCCGCGUGGGGGAUGAAGGCCUUCGGGUUGUAAACUUCUUUUGCUCUGAACAAGGCAUGCCAGUGGGUGUGUUGAGUGUAGGGGUUGAUUAGCGCCGGCUAACUACGUG
rnacentral:rRNA from 1 species